GCUGGGCGUGGUGGUGGGCGCCUGUAAUCCCAGCUACUUGGGAGGCUGAGGCCGAGAAUUGCUUGAACCCGGGAGGUGGAGGUUGCAGUGAGCCGAGAUCAUGCCACUGCACUCCAGCCUGGGUGACAGAGCAAGACUCUGUCUCAA
rfam:Pan troglodytes isolate Yerkes chimp pedigree #C0471 (Clint) chromosome 5, whole genome shotgun sequence.